rnacentral:lncRNA from 1 species
CUCUGUCAUCCAGGCUGGAGUGAGGUGGCAUGAGCUCGGCUCACUGCUACCUCCACUUCCCAGGUUCAAGUGAUUCUCAUGCCUCAGCCUCACCAGUAGCGAGAUUACAGAUGUGCACCACCACACUCAGGUCCACCCUUUACCUUUCUCCACUCUACUAUGUGCCCAGGAGGCUGGCCUGUGUAGAUUACAUCAGUGGACUCACCUCUUGGCUUUGGAUGAGGACUUAGAAGAUUUUCUUUGCUCCCAGGAGAUGAAUAAGAAACAAAAUGGCAUUCUCAAGACUAUACUUUCAGGGAUCAUUUCUAUAGUUUGUUACUAGAGAAGUUUCUCUGAACGUGUAGAGCACCGAGGCAUGGGCAAGGACUUCAUGUCCAAAACACCAAAAGCAAUGGCAACAAAAGCCAAAAUUGACAAAUGGGAUCUAAUUAAACUAAAGAGCUUCUG